GACUCGGUGGCGGAUGGUUCGCGUCUGCACUUAACUUGGAAUUUGAAGGCCGUUCGGCAGAAAUCGCCUGUUCGACUCAGGCCCGAGUCU